UAAAAAUUACUAAAAAUAAACAUAAGUUCUAAUCAAAAUAAAUAUCUAAUCAAAGAACGUUGUUCGCUAUAGAUAUCUGAAAUAUGGAAAAUAUUAAUGGAGUUGGAUCGUUAGAAGCACAAAUGUUAAAUGACAAGAAACCCAAUUUAAAUGAUUCACAUAGUGUAAUCAUUAAUGUAGAAGAGUACAAUUCAAGCACCAAAGAAAACGGUAA